rnacentral:rRNA from 1 species
AACGAACGCUGGCGGCAUGCCUAACACAUGCAAGUCGAACGAGACCUUCGGGUCUAGUGGCGCACGGGUGCGUAACGCGUGGGAACCUGCCCUUAGGUUCGGAAUAACUCCCCGAAAGGGGUGCUAAUACCGGAUAAUGUCUUCGGACCAAAGAUUUAUCGCCUUUGGAUGGGCCCGCGUUGGAUUAGCUAGUUGGUAGGGUAAAAGCCUACCAAGGCGACGAUCCAUAGCUGGUCUGAGAGGAUGAUCAGCCACACUGGGACUGAGACACGGCCCGACUCCUACGGGAGGCAGCAGUGGGGAAUAUUGGACAAUGGGCGAAAGCCUGAUCCAGCAAUGCCGCGUGAGUGAUGAAGGCCUUAGGGUUGUAAAGCUCUUUUACCCGGGAUGAUAAUGACAGUACCGGGAGAAUAAGCUCCGGCUAACUCCGUG